rnacentral:rRNA from 1 species
AUUGAACGCUGGCGGCAGGCCUAACACAUGCAAGUCGAGCGAGCGGCGGACGGGUGAGUAAGGUAUGGGGAUCUGCCCGAGAGAGGGGGAUAACUACUGGAAACGGUGGCGAAUACCGCAUACUAACGGAGGAACCCAAAUGGGAUUAGCUAGUAGGUGGGGUAAAGGCUCACCUAGGCGAGGAUCUCUAGCUGGUCUGAGAGGAUGAUCAGCCACACUGGGACUGAGACACGGCCCCGACUCCUACGUGAGGCAGCAGUGGGGAAUAUUGCACAAUGGGCGCAAGCCUGAUGCAGCCAUGCCGCGUGUAUGAUGAAGGCCUUAGGGUUGUAAAGUACUUUCAGCGGGGAGGCGUUACCCGCAGAAGCUCCCCCGCCUAACUCCGUUCCAGCAGCCGCGGUAAUAC